rnacentral:rRNA from 1 species
UACGUAGGGUGCAAGCGUUGUCCGGAAUUAUUGGGCGUAAAGAGCUUGUAGGCGGUUUGUCGCGUCUGCUGUGAAAUUUCGGGGCUCAACCCCGAACUUGCAGUGGGUACGGGCAGACUAGAGUGUGGUAGGGGAGACUGGAAUUCCUGGUGUAGCGGUGAAAUGCGCAGAUAUCAGGAGGAACACCGAUGGCGAAGGCAGGGUCUCUGGGCCAUAACUGACGCUGAGAAGCGAAAGCAUGGGGAGCGAAACAGG